GACGUAGGGCGCGAGCGUUGUCCGGAAUUAUUGGGCGUAAAGAGCUUGUAGGCGGUUUGUCGCGUCUGCUGUGAAAACCCGGGGCUCAACCCCGGGCGUGCAUUCGAUACUGCGCGGCUCGAGACAGGUAGGGGAGAUCGGAAUUCCUGGUGUAGCGGUGAAAUGCGCAGAUAUCAGGAGGAACACCGGUGGCGAAGGCGGAUCUCUGGGCCUGUUCUGACGCUGAGGCGCGAAAGCUAGGGGAGCGAACAGG
rnacentral:rRNA from 1 species